CCUACGGGUGGCAGCAGUGAGGAAUAUUGGUCAAUGAGCGGGAGCCUGAACCAGCCAAGUCGCGUGAGGGAAGACGGUCCUAUGGAUUGUAAACCUCUUUAGGCGGGGAGCAAUGCCGGGCACGUGUGCCCGGAGGGAGAGUACCUGCAUAAUAAGCAUCGGCUAACUCCGUGCCAGCAGCCGCGGUAAUACGGAGGUUGCGAGCGUUAUCCGGAUUGAUUGGGUUUAAAGGGUGCGUAGGCGGAUUUUUAAGUCAGCGUUAAAAGCCCGGGGCUCAACCCCGGCGAGCCGUUGAAACUGUCGGACUAGAGACGGCGAGAGGUAAGCGGAAUGCGCGGUGUAGCGGUGAAAUGCAUAGAUAUCGCGCAGAACUCCGAUGGCGAAGGCAGCGUACCGGCGCCGGACUGACGCUGAGGGACGAAAGCGUGGGUAUCGAACAGGAUUAGAUACCCCAGUAGUC
rnacentral:rRNA from 1 species